rnacentral:lncRNA from 1 species
GUCCUUUGUCGUUCUGCUGUCGGCUGUCGUUCAGCUUGAUUGAUGGUGGUAAAAAAAGUCACAUAACGUUGGAGGGUGAAUGUAAUAAGAAAGGGUACAUGUUUUGCAGACAUUCUGCCGAAAAAAUGAAUCUACAUAUAAUCAAAUAAUUGAAUUCAUAUUUAACUACAUGCAAAUGUGUGGUUGAUAACAAUAAACGUUACGAGUAGAAGCCGUGCCUUCACAGUGUGUGGAUACAUGUAAAUUGAUUUUUGGAUAGUAAGGAGUGCAGGCGUCAUGGAUUUUGGUUUUCUGCUUGGCACAAAAGCUUUUCUGCCGAAGAUGCAAUUUUAAGUUUGGCCUUUUUAUGGAUUCAUAGAAAUAAUACGCUGGUGUAUCGGAUCGACACUGAUGAAUGUACAAUAUAAGACACCAUAACAGGAUUAAGCAGCAGAUAUAGCCUCAUGUUUGUAGAAAAAAGAGACAGUAAAAGGCGUAAAUUGGAAUACUUUGGUCAUAUAAUGCGUCACCCA